GUGCUUGCUUCAGCAACAUACAUAUUAAAAUUGAAAUGAUACAGAGAAGAUUAACACGAUCCCUAUGCAAAAUGACAUGAAGAUUUGUGAUGUGUUACAUAUUAAA
ensembl:snRNA Gm24374 predicted gene, 24374